CCGCUCCUCAAUCUCUCAGCCGCCGCACGGGUCCCAGCCGCCCGCCCUCCCCACGCCGCCGCGCCGGACGGCCGGAGUAGCACCGGAGGCGAGUCGCCCCUCCUCUCUCUCCUUUCCUUCUUCCUCCUCACCUCUCCCUCAUACACUUGUGCCGCAGGAGCCGUCAUGGCCAUCUGACUCAAGCUCGCCCGUCGCAGCCGCUCUGGAUCCGGCCGCCAUCAGCCAGAUCCGCUCCAGCCUGCAGUUCGCCUGGGUCGCUCGAUGAGUGCAGAUGGGCGUUUUGUUGCUAUCCGGCCCCGACGACGUGCAGUACGUCAGUCGCGUUGGUGCAGCUCGCUGACGUGCGUGAAGUCCGUCGAGGGCCCUUCCUCCUUCCCUGCACGAGCACCACCGGCAAGACGUCACCAGUGCCCCCAUCCCCUUCCAUGGUGAGCUCUGGCACGACCACCCGACGAGCGGCUGCCCCCGUCCCCCACCCACAGAUCCAUCUCCUCUAGUGCUUAACAGCGAGCUCCACUGCGCGGGAUCCCCAUCACACCGGCUAGCUCUUCUCCCUUGCCCUCCUCUCCUCUCCGGCUUCAAUGUGGACAGCGACCCCCAAUUCACUUUACUGUUUUGCUAUUGUUUUCCAGAAAAUAUGUAAUUUUGCUAGAGGCUUGUUCCACAAAAAUUGUUGGGGCUUGUUUGUACAAAAAUUGUUACCUAGGUUCAGAUCAUUUUACAUGCAGUUCCCUUGGUUCCACCCCGUGCCGCCUCUGGCCACAGGGGACACGUCAGCUGCAGUUAACAUGAUCUCCCAUGUGCAGCUUGGUUGAAUAUCCAUUUGCAGUUUUUUAGACAAAAA